rnacentral:rRNA from 1 species
GUGGGGAAUUUUGGACAAUGGGCGCAAGCCUGAUCCAGCAAUGCCGCGUGUGUGAAGAAGGCCUUCGGGUUGUAAAGCACUUUUGGCAGGAAAGAAAUAGUGCGUGCUAAUACCAUGCGCGAAUGACGGUACCUGCAGAAUAAGCACCGGCUAACUACGUGCCAGCAGCCGCGGUAAGACGUAGGGUGCAAGCGUUAAUCGGAAUUACUGGGCGUAAAGCGUGCGCAGGCGGCUUUGUAAGACAGGUGUGAAAUCCCCGGGCGCAACCUGGGAGCUGCACUUGUGACUGCAAGGCUAGAGUGUGUCAGAGGGAGGUGGAAUUCCGCGUGUAGCAGUGAAAUGCGUAGAGAUGCGGAGGAACACCGAUGGCGAAGGCAGCCUCCUGGGAUAACACUGACGCUCAGGCACGAAAGCGUGGGGAGCAAACAGGAUUAGAAACCCGGGUAGUCC